rnacentral:rRNA from 1 species
UACGUAGGGUGCAAGCGUUAAUCGGAAUUACUGGGCGUAAAGCGUGCGCAGGCGGUUUUGUAAGUCUGUCGUGAAAUCCCCGGGCUCAACCUGGGAAUUGCGAUGGAGACUGCAAGGCUAGAAUCUGGCAGAGGGGGGGUAGAAUUCCACGUGUAGCAGUGAAAUGCGUAGAGAUGUGGAGGAACACCGAUGGCGAAGGCAGCCCCCUGGGUCAAGAUUGACGCUCAUGCAC